UCGGACGAGAUUCUCCGUUGUAGCAAUACGAUGGAAAGUCUAGUGGCGAACGGGUGCUUAACACGUGGGCAACCCGCCAAGAAGUGGGGGACAGCUCGCCGAAAGGCGGAUUAAUACCGCAUGUGAUUAGAGAGGACAUCCUUUCGAAAUUAAAGCUGGGGCAACCUAGCGCUUCUUGUGGGGCCCGCGGCCUAUCAGCUAGUUGGUGAGGUAACGGCCCACCAAGGCUUUGACGGGUAGCUGGUCUGAGAGGACGACCAGCCACACUGGGACUGAGACACGGCCCAGACACCUACGGGUGGCAGCAGUCGAGAAUUUUUGACAAUGGGGGAAACCCUGAUCGAGCGACGCCGCGUGGAGGAUGAAGGUCUUCGGAUUGUAAACUCCUGUCAUUGGGGAACAAGUCGCUUACGUUAACUGCGUGAGCGUUGAUAGUACCCGAAGAGGAAGAGACGGCUAACUCUGUGCCAGCAGCCGCGGUAAUACAGAGGUCUCAAGCGUUGUUCGGAUUCAUUGGGCGUAAAGGGUGCGUAGGCGGCGCGGUAAGUCGGGUGUGAAAUCUCGGAGCUUAACUCCGAAACUGCAUUCGAUACUGCUGUGCUUGAGGACUGGAGAGGAGACUGGAAUUUACGGUGUAGCGGUGAAAUGCGUAGAUAUCGUAAGGAAGACCAGUGGCGAAGGCGGGUCUCUGGACAGUUCCUGACGCUGAGGCACGAAGGUCAGGGGAGCAAACGGGAUUAGAUAC
rnacentral:rRNA from 1 species